UAAACCGAUUUUGUUAAAUCUGUUUUCAUUUACCCUGAAAUUUCUGCCAUUUUUCCCCCCCAAAUGACAUCAAGUUUAUCUCAGUACUUUUUCAUUUGAAGUCGGUUGCAUGUUUUUGUUACAACAAUAUUAUAUUGAAAUAUCAAACCUCGGGCAUAGGCUAGCUAUCACCCGUAAUAUAACGAUACUUUCAAACAUUUCACGAACGUCUCAUCUCAUCUAUACACAUCCUUAGAAUUCCAAACGCGAAAAGCCGUAUAGAUAAAAACCCUAUAUUAAAAGUUACAUAAUAAAAUUAGCAUACAGGUAUAUAAGUGACAGGCUACUUAUGAACGAGGAAAACUUAUCCGAGCUCAUUACUUCGGGAAUAUUCAAGAAGACAACAUGAGAAUAUUGUUUUUAAUUUUGCUGUUCGUGUUUGCUUUUGCGCAGAAUAAUCAGAAAUCCAGUUCUACAAACUACAAAAGACCGGGUUUCAGGGGUGGAUACUUGCCGAAAUCGAAAAUCGUAUCGCUGUACAGGUCACAUAACAUUAGAAAUAAUGGCUAAUUUCAAUAAAACCGAAUUAAAAACUCA